GACGAACGCUGGCGGCGUGCUUAACACAUGCAAGUCGAACGGUAAGGCCCUUCGGGGUACACGAGUGGCGAACGGGUGAGUAACACGUGGGUGAUCUGCCCUGCACUUCGGGAUAAGCCUGGGAAACUGGGUCUAAUACCGGAUAGGACCCUGGGAUGCAUGUCCUGGGGUGGAAAGCUUUUGCGGUGUGGGAUGGGCCCGCGGCCUAUCAGCUUGUUGGUAGGGUGAUGGCCUACCAAGGCGACGACGGGUAGCCGGCCUGAGAGGGUGACCGGCCACACUGGGACUGAGAUACGGCCCAGACUCCUACGGGAGGCAGCAGUGGGGAAUAUUGCACAAUGGGCGCAAGCCUGAUGCAGCGACGCCGCGUGAGGGAUGACGGCCUUCGGGUUGUAAGCCUCUUUCAGCACCGACGAAGCGCAAGUGACGGUAGGUGCAGAAGAAGGACCGGCCAACUACGUGCCAGCAGCCGCCGUAA
rnacentral:rRNA from 1 species